UACGUAGGGCGCAAGCGUUGUCCGGAAUCAUUGGGCGUAAAGAGCUCGUAGGCGGCCUGUCGCGUCCGCUGUGAAAUCCCGGGGCUUAACCCCGGGCGUGCAGUGGAUACGGGCUGGCUGGAGGCAGGCAGGGGAGAACGGAAUUCCCGGUGUAGCGGUGAAAUUCGUAGAUAUUCGGAAGAACACCAGUGGCGAAGGCGGCUCACUGGACUGGUAUUGACGCUGAGGUGCGAAAGCGUGGGGAGCAAACGGG
rnacentral:rRNA from 1 species